UACGAAGGGGGCUAGCGUUGUUCGGAAUUACUGGGCGUAAAGCGUAUGUAGGCGGAUCGUUAAGUCGGGGGUGAAAUCCCGAGGCUCAACCUCGGAACUGCCUUCGAUACUGGCGAUCUUCGAGUCCGGGAGAGGUGAGUGGAACUCCGAGUGUAGAGGUGAAAUUCGUAGAUAUUCGGAGGAACACCAGUGGCGAAGGCGGCUCACUGGUCCAUUACUGACGCUGAGGUGCGAAAGCGUGGGGAGCAAACAGG
rnacentral:rRNA from 1 species